AUACGUAUGGGGCGAGCGUUAUCCGGAAUUAUUGGGCGUAAAGAGUACGUAGGUGGUUUUUUAAGCGGGAGGUUUGAGGCUACGGCUUAACCGUAGUUCGCCUCUCGAACUGGAAGACUUGAGUGCAGGAGAGGAAAGCGGAAUUCCUAGUGUAGCGGUGAAAUGCGUAGAUAUUAGGAGGAACACCGGUGGCGAAGGCGGCUUUCUGGACUGUAACUGACACUGAGGUACGAAAGCGUGGGGAGCAAACAGGAUUAGAUACCCUGGUAGUCCACGCUGUAAACGAUGAAUACUAGGUGUAGGGAGUGUCAAAACUCUCUGUGCCGCAGCAAACGCAAUAAGUAUUCCACCUGGGGAGUACGACCGCAAGGUUGAAACUCAAAUGAAUUGACGGGG
rnacentral:rRNA from 1 species